rnacentral:rRNA from 1 species
CAGUCGCCGCGGUAAAACGGAGGGGGCUAGCGUUGUUCGGAAUUACUGGGCGUAAAGCGCACGUAGGCGGCUUUGUAAGUCAGAGGUGAAAGCCCGGGGCUCAACCCCGGAAUUGCCUUUGAGACUGCAUCGCUUGAAUCCAGGAGAGGUGAGUGGAAUUCCGAGUGUAGAGGUGAAAUUCGUAGAUAUUCGGAAGAACGCCAGUGGCGAAGGCGGCUCACUGGACUGGUAUUGACGCUGAGGUGCGAAAGCGUGGGGAGCAAACAGGAUUAGAUACCCGAGUAGUCCCUGUCUCUUAUAC